GUCUGGGUGGUGUAGUUGGUUAUCACGUUAGUCUCACACACUAAAGGUCCCCAGUUCGAACCUGGGUCCCCAGUUCGAACCUGGGCUUAGACA